rnacentral:rRNA from 1 species
AACGAACGCUGGCGGCAUGCCUAACACAUGCAAGUCGAACGAGACCUUCGGGUCUAGUGGCGCACGGGUGCGUAACGCGUGGGAACCUGCCCUUAGGUUCGGAAUAACUCCCCGAAAGGGGUGCUAAUACCGGAUAAUGUCUUCGGACCAAAGAUUUAUCGCCUUUGGAUGGGCCCGCGUUGGAUUAGCUAGUUGGUAGGGUAAAAGCCUACCAAGGCGACGAUCCAUAGCUGGUCUGAGAGGAUGAUCAGCCACACUGGGACUGAGACACGGCCCAGACUCCUACGGGAGGCAGCAGUGGGGAAUAUUGGACAAUGGGCGAAAGCCUGAUCCAGCAAUGCCGCGUGAGUGAUGAAGGCCUUAGGGUUGUAAAGCUCUUUUACCCGGGAUGAUAAUGACAGUACCGGGAGAAUAAGCUCCGGCUAACUUCGU